rnacentral:lncRNA from 1 species
UUUAAAUUUCAAAGGAAAUUCAGGGUCUAAAUCACAAUUAAAUACACUUACAGGAAUAAACACUAAUUACCUAAAAUUACCCCUAACCCCAACCCUAAAUCUAAGUGAGGCUAUAAAAAGCCCCACUUAGUAAACUACUGACUAGUUGGAUCCUAUCCUUAAACGGUUAAACCUAACUUAGCAGCUUCGCCCAUUUUUAAAAAAACACUCAGCUUCUAUACCAAUUUUUAAAACACACCAUCUACAAUCUUAUCCAAAAACACAUACUUUGGCAGCUUUUGGCAAAGAAAGAAAAGGAUAACUACAAACAGUAGAGAGCUAACAAAUGAGUCAUCUUCCUUAUUUUGGAACCACUUUCACAAGCAAUAUCCUUAGGUCCACUUGUCACUCAAAUUCCUUAUCUUUCAUUUGUCCCUACUGGAACUCAUUGCUACAUACAUAAUACUUCCCAUUUUCAUUUUAUCAUUCAACAUGCUCAUUAACCACAUGACAUGAACCACAAAUUGAGUCAAGGAGAAGAAAUGGGCUUUAAACUCAUCGGUGGUGCCAUCUUGUUAGAACCGUCCUGGAACAUGGCGGAGGUGCUACCGGAGGAAGCCUUUGUGCAGCCGAGCCGUGGUAGAAGUUCCUAGACUCAUGGUCCAGGUGGGGAAGACGACCCCCACCCCUUUUUUAUUUAUUUCUUUUAUUUAAUCCUAUUCUUUUAUUUAUUUAUUAUGUAUAUAGUUUUUGUUUAUUUAUUUUAUUUAUUAAUAAAUUUGUCUUAUUUGAAUAUUAUGGGCAAUCUAUCCUUAUUUGAGUAUGUAGUUAUAAUACUCUACUUAGUAUAUGUGUUUAAUUCAUUUAAGCUGUUGAUUGGUG